rnacentral:lncRNA from 1 species
GGAACAGAAAGUGCUGUGUGGGCUGGAUGACUGUUCUAGCCACGCACUGUGGAGGGUGAGGUGCCCGCUCCUCCCACAGUGUCACAUGUUGAUGUCGAGCCUGCAGAGCAGAAGCUGUGAAGCACCUGCCUCUCCUGAGGGCAGCCUGGCGGCAUCACCUGCUGAGCUGUCUCUACAAAGGCAGCUGAAAUGCACACAGAAACCUCCUUUAGCAAUUCUCCACGUGGACCAGUCACUGGAAUUGCAGUGCCCUGGGCAAGAGAUUAAUGAGAUUUCACCAGGUCGAGACUGCUUAUCUCAGGCAUGCAGAGGUGGUCAGUGA